rnacentral:lncRNA from 1 species
UAUGACCUACUGUACCACAGCAAAAGCAAGUUAUUUUCUUAGUUUUAGUUUCUCCAGCUUUAACAAAGAAGUUACUAAGAAGUUUUUGUUUAUUUCUUGGUUUAUACCCUAAACCCGCUUUAUUAAAUACUGCUCGUUGACUAUUUAAUAUCAUGUUUAAUUUUUCCGAACUAUAUGUAAAUUUUUCAACUAAGGGUUUGUAUUUGUUAAGUUCUUUAGUUAAUAUUUGAUUUUCUGCUUUUAGAUCAUUAAGUUCUUUUGUGAGAUCCUUAUUUAAGAUUUGUUUAUGAUUUUUAAGUUCUGAAAAUUCCUUAGUUAGUUUUUCAUUAUCUUUAGUUAAGG